rnacentral:rRNA from 1 species
CCUACGGGGUGCAGCAGUGAGGAAUAUUGGUCAAUGGACGAGAGUCUGAACCAGCCAAGUAGCGUGAAGGAUGACUGCCCUAUGGGUUGUAAACUUCUUUUAUAUGGGAAUAAAAUGUUCCACGUGUGGGAUUUUGUAUGUACCAUAUGAAUAAGGAUCGGCUAACUCCGUGCCAGCAGCCGCGGUAAUACGGAGGAUCCGAGCGUUGUCCGGAUUUAUUGGGUUUAAAGGGAGCGUAGGUGGAUUGUUAAGUCAGUUGUGAAAGUUUGCGGCUCAACCGUAAAAUUGCAGUUGAAACUGGCAGUCUUGAGUACAGUAGAGGUGGGCGGAAUUCGUGGUGUAGCGGUGAAAUGCUUAGAUAUCACGAAGAACUCCGAUUGCGAAGGCAGUUCACUGGACUGCAACUGACACUGAGGCUCGAAAGUGUGGGUAUCAAACAGGAUUAGAUACCCGAGUAGUC